UGCCCAUAGGAAUGGGACCAGCCCUGGAGGAGAGCCUCUUUGUUUCUCCCUUCCCACAGUUCUUCCUGUGUUUAACAAUCUCCUGACUCUUGACUUCAAUAAGACUACUGCUCUCAGAUUCCACACAUGAAAAAUACCUGGUGCUGGUUUUCUGUUCAUGGCUUACUUUAUUCGAUGCAAUGUUUUCCAGUUCCACUGAUGUUGCUGAAAACGACGUCAUUUGAAAGGGGCCAGCCGCUAUGGAUAUCUAGCAUGGCAUAUUAAUCUGCAGUAAAUUUAGGCAACUCCUCUUCUUUUAAGCGAAUGAGGUACUCAUCAAAGCUCAGCUAUUAAAGCCGUUUGGCAGAAAUUACUUAUACAGGUCAAUUACAAUUUCUAACAAUGAAAAACAAGAAGGAAAAAUGCUCCUGGUUUCACAUGACGCUGUCUAAAUCGGUGAUUUUCGCACAUUUUGA